GUGAGUUUGGAUUGCAGAUUAAGUUUCUUAGGUGAAAUUGUAGAAUUAACUUAGGUUUUUUUUCUUACAGGUUUCCAGGAGGCGAGCAGCAUGGAAGGAGGAGGACUUCACAAAGGAGGGUUUCCAGGACAASUGGUUGAGGAUACAAGGCUUCAGACUCUUGGUGAUCCACCUUGGAGCAAAAAACUAAGAUCUCGAGUGGCAGGGGAGGAGCUUCCAAUUAACCACCUGUUCUGGGUUCUGCUGAUGAGGCUGGGCUCUUCUUAAGGAAGACUUGGUGAUUACUCUCUGGACUUACCUCCUGUGAUUGUGGAACCUCCUCCUGGAAAGAACCUCCUGCUCWUGCCUCCUCUCCUUCGUCCUGCCACUCCUGCCAAGAGAUCUAAAAACACACAAACUCACAACUCUGGACUUACCUCCUGGAACCUUUGUGCCUCCUCCUCCAUGUCUGCCUCCUGCGUGAAACCUGACUUGACCAGAUUUCAUCAUUCACUGUAAAUAAUAAACACUUUAAAUUUUCAUAGUUUCUCUGCCUCUACACUGUCAAUCUUGGUUUAUUU